ensembl:miRNA
UGGAAGACUAGUGAUUUUGUUGUUGUAAAUUUAGCUCACUGACAACAAGUCACAGUCUACCUC